UAGAGUUUGAUCAUGGCUCAGGAUGAACGCUAGCGGCAGGCUUAACACAUGCAAGUCGAGGGGCAUCGGGAGGAAAGCUUGCUUUCCUUGCCGGCGACCGGCGCACGGGUGAGUAACACGUAUGCAACCUGCCCUCUUCAGGGGGACAACCUUCCGAAAGGGAGGCUAAUCCCGCGUAUAUCGGUUUCGGGCAUCCGAGAUCGAGGAAAGAUUCAUCGGAAGAGGAUGGGCAUGCGGCGCAUUAGCUUGACGGCGGGGUAACGGCCCACCGUGGCGACGAUGCGUAGGGGUUCUGAGAGGAAGGUCCCCCACACUGGUACUGAGACACGGACCAGACUCCUACGGGAGGCAGCAGUGAGGAAUAUUGGUCAAUGGGAGAGAUCCUGAACCAGCCAAGCCGCGUGAGGGAAGACGGCCCUAUGGGUUGUAAACCUCUUUUGUCGGAGAACAAAACCCGGGACGUGUCCCGGACUGCGUGUAUCCGAAGAAAAAGCAUCGGCUAACUCCGUGCCAGCAGCCGCGGUAAUACGGAGGAUGCGAGCGUUAUCCGGAUUUAUUGGGUUUAAAGGGUGCGUAGGCGGUCCGUUAAGUCAGCGGUAAAAUUGCGGGGCUCAACCCCGUCGAGCCGUUGAAACUGGCAGACUUGAGUUGGCGAGAAGUACGCGGAAUGCGCGGUGUAGCGGUGAAAUGCAUAGAUAUCGCGCAGAACUCCGAUUGCGAAGGCAGCGUACCGGCGCCAGACUGACGCUGAGGCACGAAAGCGUGGGGAUCGAACAGGAUUAGAUACCCUGGU
rnacentral:rRNA from 1 species